CGACCAAAACAUACGCAACGAAUAUUCUCGAAUGUUCUCGUUAUCAAAAACCUUCGAGAAACUUCGAUAACGCCAUAAGAUAACCUACGCGGGUAUAGAAUAUUCUAGAAUUAGCGAGAGCCUUAUCGGAGCUAUAUAUAUAUCGGAAGAAUCAGUCAGUUCAGUUAGUUCAGUUCAGACUGUCUAGUCCGCGAUACGCUACACGACCGCUACACCCCGCCGCUGUUGUCAUCGUGUAUUAUGUUUACUUCGAUUAUUUUAUUUUUCCUUACUGUAUAUACAUAUAUUUUCUUUUAGUUGUUUAUACGUCUAUUUUCGUGUUAUAAUUUUGUUUAAUAAAAGUCUACCGCCAUUUAAAUAA